CUGAUUCUUUGUCUUGAUUGGUGAUUUUGAAUAUCUAUGUCACCAGCCAUUUUAACACCUCUCAGCACCUGUCACAUUCACUGCACUGCAUCCACCGUACAGAUCAGUCCACAGGUUACACCUUCCGAGUACUGCUCAGUGUUUCGAGCAUUGGCGACCACCCAGGUCAGAGGCUACACUUUUGUGUCACCCACAGGAGUGUCACAUGCCACAGCGACACAACAAAUAAAUACAUCUCUCACGA